GAUGAACGCUGGCGGCGUGCCUAAUACAUGCAAGUCGCGCGAAGUGGGGACGGGUGAGUAACACGUGGAUAACCUCAUAUAAGAAUGGGAUAAAUUAGGGAAACAGGAGGUAAACAGGAUACUUAUAGAUGUAUCAGGGCUGCAUUAGCUAGUUUGUAAGGUAACGGCUUACCAAGGCAACGAUGCAUAGCCGACCUGAGAGUGUGAUCGGCCCCACGGGACUUGAGACACGGUCCAGACUCCUACGUGAGGCAGCAGUGGGGAAUCUUCCGCAAUGUGCGAAAGCCUGCCGGAGCAACGCCGCGGGAGUGAUGAAGGUCUUCGGAUCGUAAAACUCUGUUAUUAGGUAUGCGUUACCUAAUCAGAAAGCCACGGCUAACUACGUGCCAGCAGCCGCGGUAAUAC
rnacentral:rRNA from 1 species